AGCCUCUCAGGAUCACACCUGGAGAGUUUCCAGUACUCUACCAGUCUUGGCUAUGGGAGGAAGAGUCAGGCAGAGGCCUAUCCAUUCCAUUCCUAGCUUGGGCAGUGGUUAGUGAGUGGAAGGCAAUCUGCUACAAGU
rnacentral:snoRNA from 2 species